rnacentral:tRNA from 1 species
GCUUUCGUGGUGCAAUCGGAAGCACAUACGACGCGUAUUCGAAAGUUCCAGGUUCGAGUCCUGAUGAAAGCG